AUAGUCACAAUCAUUACGAGCAGUCCAUUGCGCUCCAGGAAACACAUCCAUUACGCCAAGUCGUGCUUCAACACGUGAGUAAGGAUGGAGUGACCGACAGAGACGUCCAUUCCCGGAACGUCAUGGAAUAUGAAAAGCGUCUGAUUAAGAUACCUAGCGCACUGUUCGGAAGAACUGGAAGAAAAAGGCUUGAACGAACAAAAAUUCAGAGAAACCGAGGCAUUACUGAAAUAAUAGAAUCCAGAGAAGACACCGCAAGAUUCACAAUAGAGGCGUACAUCAUCGUUGACAGUGCGCUCGCAAAUCGUCUGAAACGCGACGGAAAGACCGUCGAAAAAUACGCCAAGGAAUUUGCUCAAAAGGCUAGUAGGCAAAACACACGUUUUCAUCUUCCUACUUUCAUC